AACGUAGGACACGAGCGUUAUCCGGAGUUACUGGGCGUAAAGGGCAGGUAGGCGGACAGGCAAGUUGGGUGUGAAAUCUCCCUGGCUUAACCGGGAGGGUGCACUCGAAACUGUCUGACUGGAGGACGACAGAGGAGCGUGGAAUCCGGGGUGGAGUGGUGAAAUGCGUAGAGAUCCGGGAGGAACACCAGAGGCGAAAGCGGCGCUCUGGGUCGCACCUGACGCUGAACUGCGAAAGCCAGGGUAGGCGAACGGG
rnacentral:rRNA from 1 species